GGGUAAAUUGGUUUAACCCUUUAUUUUGCAAAAAUAAUGUUAAGAAUUUUUUCUUUUUACCUU
rnacentral:tRNA from 1 species